GCUGGCGGCGUGCCUAAUACAUGCAAGUCGAACGAACUCUGGUAUUGAUUGGUGCUUGCAUCAUGAUUUACAUUUGAGUGAGUGGCGAACUGGUGAGUAACACGUGGGAAACCUGCCCAGAAGCGGGGGAUAACACCUGGAAACAGAUGCUAAUACCGCAUAACAACUUGGACCGCAUGGUCCGAGUUUGAAAGAUGGCUUCGGCUAUCACUUUUGGAUGGUCCCGCGGCGUAUUAGCUAGAUGGUGGGGUAACGGCUCACCAUGGCAAUGAUACGUAGCCGACCUGAGAGGGUAAUCGGCCACAUUGGGACUGAGACACGGCCCAAACUCCUACGGGAGGCAGCAGUAGGGAAUCUUCCACAAUGGACGAAAGUCUGAUGGAGCAACGCCGCGUGAGUGAAGAAGGGUUUCGGCUCGUAAAACUCUGUUGUUAAAGAAGAACAUAUCUGAGAGUAACUGUUCAGGUAUUGACGGUAUUUAACCAGAAAGCCACGGCUAACUACGUGCCAGCAGCCGCGGUAAUACGUAGGUGGCAAGCGUUGUCCGGAUUUAUUGGGCGUAAAGCGAGCGCAGGCGGUUUUUUAAGUCUGAUGUGAAAGCCUUCGGCUCAACCGAAGAAGUGCAUCGGAAACUGGGAAACUUGAGUGCAGAAGAGGACAGUGGAACUCCAUGUGUAGCGGUGAAAUGCGUAGAUAUAUGGAAGAACACCAGUGGCGAAGGCGGCUGUCUGGUCUGUAACUGACGCUGAGGCUCGAAAGUAUGGGUAGCAAACAGGAUUAGAUACCCUGGUAGUCCAUACCGUAAACGAUGAAUGCUAAGUGUUGGAGGGUUUCCGCCCUUCAGUGCUGCAGCUAACGCAUUAAGCAUUCCGCCUGGGGAGUACGGCCGCAAGGCUGAAACUCAAAGGAAUUGACGGGGGCCCGCACAAGCGGUGGAGCAUGUGGUUUAAUUCGAAGCUACGCGAAGAACCUUACCAGGUCUUGACAUACUAUGCAAAUCUAAGAGAUUAGACGUUCCCUUCGGGGACAUGGAUACAGGUGGUGCAUGGUUGUCGUCAGCUCGUGUCGUGAGAUGUUGGGUUAAGUCCCGCAACGAGCGCAACCCUUAUUAUCAGUUGCCAGCAUUAAGUUGGGCACUCUGGUGAGACUGCCGGUGACAAACCGGAGGAAGGUGGGGAUGACGUCAAAUCAUCAUGCCCCUUAUGACCUGGGCUACACACGUGCUACAAUGGAUGGUACAACGAGUUGCGAACUCGCGAGAGUAAGCUAAUCUCUUAAAGCCAUUCUCAGUUCGGAUUGUAGGCUGCAACUCGCCUACAUGAAGUCGGAAUCGCUAGUAAUCGCGGAUCAGCAUGCCGCGGUGAAUACGUUCCCGGGCCUUGUACACACCGCCCGUCACACCAUGAGAGUUUGUAACACCCAAAGUCGGUGGGGUAACCUUUUAGGAACCAGCCGCCUAAGGUGGGACAGAUGAUUAGG
rnacentral:rRNA from 2 species